GCUGAAGUGGCUUCUGAUCCCUGGAUCCCAGUUGAAAGGCUCUUCACUUGAACUAGCAGUUCCCAUGGAAGGAAAUCUUCGCUGCUGUAACAGUCUGGGAGUCUCGGCUCAGCCCAGCAGUCCGGCCCGCCAGGAAGCGCCCCCUCCCGCCCAGCUUGCUGGUCCCAAGGCAAACACUUUUGAGGACAGGAAGGGGAGAGGUGAGGCAGAGGGUGGGGAUGGAUGUUGGGCAGCUGACCACUGGUGUCUGCCACGAUGGGUUCCAGUAUACCAGCUGCCAGACAUUGUUGCUGUGGGUCAGCCUGGGCCCUGCCCCACCUGGCCCCGCUCAAUGAGCCUCCAGCCACCUACUGACAGCAUGGUGGGUCCUGCAACCAGCAAGAGUUCAGCCUGGAAUAAUACCAGGAGCUUCUUUCCAGC